UUUUUUUAUCCUUUGUUUAUUUUAUCAUUUGACCAAUGACAGAUUAUUUAUAUCUAUUGUAAUUUGUGUUGUAUUAAAAUGAGCACAUUACGUGAUUUACCAAAGAUUUUAAUAUUUUACUAUUUUGUGUUCAAGGGCUGUAUAAUUUAUAAUUUUUUUUAAAUAUAACUAUUGUUAACUGAUGUAACUUUUCUAUUGUUAUUUGUCCUCAUAAAAAAGAAGCCAAUUGAAUGUCGUUAUUCCGUUGUUCAUAGCAACGGAACUCAUAUAAUAAAUGAGAGGUGGACAAAUGAAUUAAUGAAUAAUUGUAAGUUUCUGAACUGUAUUUAUUGGAGAAAUGGGAAAGACGAUUCAUACAUAUCACCAUUUCAAUAUUAUUUCUAGGAUUAUGGUAUACUAAUAAAAUGUUUGUGCAGUUUAUGACCAACAAU